rnacentral:sRNA from 1 species
UUAAGAGUUUUUGGUUUUUGUUUUUUAAAGUGUUUUUUUUUUUGUGUUUUUCUU